UUAAUUUCCCCACAAAUCUGAGAGAACCCUACUGUUUAAUCAUCUUACAAAGAAAUAAAUUAUGUGAUAAAUUUUUUUAACAGCAGUUAUUGUAUGGUAAUAAUAUCAUAGAUGAGGAUUAUAGGUUUGCAUCUUUACAGAGCUUAAUUGGAUUAACAGUGGAAAACUAGAAAGUAAUUUCUUUGAAGCAACUAUUCCUUUAAAGCAGCAAGAACAUUUAGGAGAAAUUGCUUAAAUUGCAUUUUAGGCAAGCAACAAAUAUGUAUAGAGAAGCUUGGAGAGAAGGUUACAUAAUUUUGAUUCCUUUAGAGUAUCCAUAUGAUG
rnacentral:lncRNA from 1 species